CAGGUGCUAAUACCGCAUAACAGUUUAUGCCGCAUGGCAUAAGAGUGAAAGGCGCUUUCGGGUGUCGCUGAUGGAUGGACCCGCGGUGCAUUAGCUAGUUGGUGAGGUAACGGCUCACCAAGGCCACGAUGCAUAGCCGACCUGAGAGGGUGAUCGGCCACACUGGGACUGAGACACGGCCCAGACUCCUACGGGAGGCAGCAUG
rnacentral:rRNA from 1 species